rnacentral:lncRNA from 1 species
CCGCCCUGAGUUCAAUGCAUCUUGCUAGACCGUCUGAACUUGGGCGGGAGGCAGACGGCGUCCAUCUGGCUGGGGAAGGAGCAGGCCCCUCUGGUCAGCCUUCCUAGGCUGGAUUUGGGGUGAGAGCCCGCCAAGUUCAAGUCACACUCUCCAAAGGCUUCCUGUCACAGGAACUGACUCAGGCCUGGAAACCAAGAGGGGCACUUGCUGACAGAGGCGGCAGCCCCAAGGGGGACGUGGACCCGUUCUACUAUGGCUGCGGAGAGAGACAGCUGCUGGGAGAGACCACCCAUCCCGCUCCUCUUGCCCUCUCUUUCCGGAGACUAUGAGACCGUUCGCAAUGGGGGCCUGAUCUUCGCUGGACUGGCCUUCAUCGUGGGGCUCCUCAUCCUCCUCAGCAGAAGAUUCCGCUGUGGGGGCAAUAAGAAGCGCAGGCAAAUCAAUGAAGAUGAGCCGUAACAGCAGCCUCGGCGGUGCCACCCACUGCACUGGGGCCAGCUGGGAAGCCAAGCAUGGCCCUGCCUCUGGCGCCUCCCCUUCUUCCCUGGGCUUUAGACCUUUGUCCCCGUCACUGCCAGCGCUUGGGCUGAAGGAAGCUCCAGACUCAAUGUGACCCCCAGGUGGCAUCGCCAACUCCUGCCUCGUGCCACCUCAUGCUUAUAAUAAAGCCGGCGUCAGAGACCGCUGCUUCCCUCACCUGCC